GAUGAACGCUGGCGGCGUGCCUAAUACAUGCAAGUCGAGCGAACAGACGCGGAUCUUACUCCUCUGACGUUAGCGGCGGACGGGUGAGUAACACGUGGAUAACCUACCUAUAAGACUUGGAUAACUUCGGGAAACCGGAGCUAAUACCGGAUAAUAUAUUGAACCGCAUGGUUCAAUAGUGAAAGACGGUUUUGCUGUCACUUAUAGAUGGAUCCGCGCCGCAUUAGCUAGUUGGUAAGGUAACGGCUUACCAAGGCGACGAUGCGUAGCCGACCUGAGAGGGUGAUCGGCCACACUGGAACUGAGACGCGGCCCAGACUCCUACGGGAGGCAGCAGUAGGGAAGCGUGCGCGAUGGGCGGAAGCUUGACGGAGCAACGCCGCGUGAGUGAUGAAGGUCUUCGGAUCGUAAAACUCUGUUAUUAGGGAAGAACAAAUGUGUAAGUAACUAUGCACGUCGUGACGGUACCUAGUCAGAAAGCCACGGCUAACUACGUG
rnacentral:rRNA from 1 species